AGGUAGCAUAAUAGUUUGUUAUUUAAUUGAUAACUAGAAUGAAUGGUCUGACAAAAAAUUAGCUUUAUUUCUUCUCUACGAAAUUAAUAUUAAAAUAAAAAAGUUUUAUUAAUCUAGGAAGACGACAAGACCCUUAAACCUUAAUAUAUUAUAUUUUACUGGGGCGGUAGUUUACAAACCAUAAACUAUUUUCACAUACUGAAUGAUAUUUAUUAACUUGUUAAAAUCAAAAAGGUACUUUAGGGAUAACAGCAUAAUUUUUAUGUAGAGCUCUUAUCAAUAUAAAAGAUUAUGACCUCGAUGUUGAAUUGAUAUAACUUUAAUAAGCAAAA
rnacentral:rRNA from 1 species